AGAGUUUGAUCCUGGCUCAGGAUAAACGCUGGCGGCGUGCCUAACACAUGCAAGUCGAACGCCCUACGCAAGUAGGGAGUGGCGGACGGGUGAGGAACACGUGGGUCAUCUACCUUGGGGUGAGGAAUACCGGCGAGAAAUCGCCGACAAUACCGCAUACGUUUGGAAACAAAGAAAGCUCGCGCAAGCGGGCGCCCGAA
rnacentral:rRNA from 1 species